GGGUAACAUUGUGCUUGCACAGAUGACGACCGGCACACGGGUGCGUAACGCGUAUAGAACCUACCUUUUACAGAGGAAUAGCCUUUAGAAAUGAAGAUUAAUGCCUCAUAGUAUUGUAGACUGGCAUCAGUUUAUAAUUAAAGAUUUAUCGGUAAAAGAUGGCUAUGCGUCCUAUUAGUUAGUUGGUAAGGUAACGGCUUACCAAGACAGCGAUAGGUAGGGGUCCUGAGAGGGAGAUCCCCCACACUGGUACUGAGACACGGACCAGACUCCUACGGGAGGCAGCAGUGAGGAAUAUUGGACAAUGGAGGAGACUCUGAUCCAGCCAUGCCGCGUGUAGGAAGAAUGCCCUAUGGGUUGUAAACUACUUUUAUACAGGAAGAAACACCGGUAUGUAUACCAGCUUGACGGUACUGUAAGAAUAAGGACCGGCUAACUCCGUGCCAGCAGCCGCGGUAAUACGGAGGGUCCGAGCGUUAUCCGGAAUCAUUGGGUUUAAAGGGUCCGCAGGCGGUCGAUUAAGUCAGAGGUGAAAUCCCAUAGCUCAACUAUGGAACUGCCUUUGAUACUGGUUGACUUGAGUCAUAUGGAAGUAGAUAGAAUGUGUAGUGUAGCGGUGAAAUGCAUAGAUAUUACACAGAAUACCGAUUGCGAAGGCAGUCUACUACGUAUGUACUGACGCUGAGGGACGAAAGCGUGGGGAGCGAACAAGAUUAGAUACCCUGGUAGUCCACGCCGUAAACGAUGGAUACUAGUUGUUGGGAUUUAUCUCAGUGACUAAGCGAAAGUGAUAAG
rnacentral:rRNA from 1 species